rnacentral:tRNA from 1 species
AUUUCCUUAGUACAACUAGUACCGGUGAUUUCCAAUUAUCUAACCUUGGUGAAAACCCAAGAGGAAAUA